UGCAAAACUGCGGAAUUACCUUAAUUUUAUUACGAGAGCCAUUCACUCCCUGAAAAUACCAGGUAUUGAAAAUGGGUGAAGCCUCUCAUCCAGGGAGGUCCAGGGGGUGAAUGCCUCUCAUAAGUGCAUUAGCUAGGCCAGUUGAUUUAAUUUAUUUUACUUUUUACUUGUAACACUCAGACUCAGUCAUAUGGCCGUUAAAGAGUGAAGCCUCACAUAUGCAACAUGUGAGCAGUGGCGUUGCAGCAUACCACGCCAUAUAUGGUAUGUCAAUUUCAG